CCACAGCGAUGUGGUCUCAGCAAAGAGUCCCUCCCGACUGUUUACCAAAAACACAGCACUUUGCCAACUCGUAAGAGGAAGUAUAAGGUGUGACGCCUGCCCGGUGCUCGAAGGUUAAGAGGAUGCGUCAGUCGCAAGAUGAAGCGUUGAAUUGAAGCCCGAGUAAACGGCGGCCGUAACUAUAACGGUCCUAAGGUAGCGAAAUUCCUUGUCGGUUAAAUACCGACCUGCAUGAAUGGCGUAACGAGAUGGGAGCUGUCUCAACCAGAGAUUCAGUGAAAUUGUAGUGGAGGUGAAAAUUCCUCCUACCCGCGGCAAGACGGAAAGACCCCGUGGACCUUUACUACAACUUAGCACUGCUAAUGGGAAUAUCGUGCGCAGGAUAGGUGGGAGGCUUUGAAGUAAGGGCUUUGGCUCUUAUGAG
rnacentral:rRNA from 1 species